AAGAGAGCCGUAACACAGGUGCUGCAUGGCUGUCGUCAGCUCGUGUCGUGAGAUGUUGGGUUAAGUCCCGCAACGAGCGCAACCCUUGUCAUUAGUUGCUACAUUCAGUUGGGCACUCUAAUGAGACUGCCGGUGACAAGCCGGAGGAAGGUGGGGAUGACGUCAAGUCCUCAUGGCCCUUAUAGGUGGGGCUACACACGUCAUACAAUGGCUGGUACAAAGGGUUGCCAACCCGCGAGGGGAGCUAAUCUCAUAAAGCCAGUCGUAGUCCGGAUCGUAGUCUGCAACUCGACUACGUGAAGUCGGAAUCGCUAGUAAUCGUGGAUCAGCAUGCCGCGGUGAAUACCGUUCCCGGCCUU
rnacentral:rRNA from 1 species